UGGAUAUCUUUUUUAAAAGGCAUUGGGAACUUGAAAUUUAUUUCCCUCCACUAUUGAAAUUUGGGACUAAAUGUCAAAAAUUUGGAUAUAAAGGUUUAUCACUGUUAAAAUACUGCUUUGGGUUU